rfam:Camelus ferus unplaced genomic scaffold scaffold2641, whole genome shotgun sequence.
GAGGGUAGAGCUCAGUGGUAGGUUGCGUGCCUAGUAUGUAUGAAGUCCUGGGUUCAAUCCCCAGCACCCUCA